CUUAGAUCCCAUUCCCUCUUGUCCACUCAAAGGAUACGGCUCCAGCAAACACCUCCCUCACCCACUUACCCACACAUAUUGAUCCCCUUCACACACAUAUAGACCACUCCCAUAUUCACCCACUCCCCACACAUAUAGACCAGCCCCACAGGAUACAAAGCAGUAGUCCCCUCCUAUCUGCAGGGGACAAGUUCCAAGACCCCCAGUGGAUAUUUGAAACUGGAAAGCACUGAGCCCUAGAUAUACUAUGUUUUUUCCUACUCAUACAUACCUAUGAUGAAGUUUAAUUUAUAAUUUAGCACAUUAAGAGAUUAACAGCAGUAAGGAGAACAAUUAUAACAAUAUACUGUAAUAAAAGUUAUGUAAAUGUGGUUCUCUCUCAACAUCUUAUUGUACUCAUCCUUGUGAUGAUGUGAGAUGGUACAAUGCCUUUGUGAUGAGAUGAGGUGAGUGGCAUGGUCAUUGGGGCACAGUGUUAGGCUACUACAGACUUUUGAAGAUACAUCAGUAGGAGGAUCAUCUGCUUCAGGUGAUCCUGGACUACUGAGCCAUGACAAUGUAGAUGGUUUAUGUCAGGGGCUAUGUGUGUGCCUUGCCUCCUUUCCUGGUACUUCCUCAUCUCUCCAGCUCUAAAUAUGGAAUGCCCAGGGCUCAGGCCUUUCAAGGUUUCUCUUAUCUGUCUACCCUGCUUCCCUCAGCAAUCUCAGCCAGAAUCAUGGCUUUAAACUUUCUUUUUUUUUUUUUUUUUUUUUUUUUUUAGACGGAGUCUCACUCUGUUGCCCAGGCUGGAGUGCAGUGGUGUGAUCACGGCUCACUGCAAACUCCCCUCCUGGGUUCACGCCAUUCUCCCGCCUCAGCCUCGUAGCUGGGACUACAGGCGCC
rnacentral:lncRNA from 1 species